AUUCGGUUAACGAGUCCCAAAUAGGACGAAACGCGCGUCCUGGAU
rnacentral:hammerhead_ribozyme from 1 species